UACGUAGGGCGCAAGCGUUGUCCGGAAUUAUUGGGCGUAAAGAGCUCGUAGGCGGCUUGUCGCGUCGUCCGUGAAAACCCACAGCUCAACUGUGGGCUUGCGGUCGAUACGGGCAGGCUAGAGUUCGGUAGGGGAGACUGGAAUUCCUGGUGUAGCGGUGAAAUGCGCAGAUAUCAGGAGGAACACCGGUGGCGAAGGCGGGUCUCUGGGCCGAAAUUGACGCUGAGGAGCGAAAGCCAGGGGAGCAAACGGG
rnacentral:rRNA from 1 species